AUAAUGGGAAGCACAAAUAAGAAAGUUCUUAUCUUUUAAGAGGGCAGAAACAACGGCAUCAGUGGGAAGAUAAGUCCUUGUGCUGCAUGAACUGGAGAGGCGCCUACCUCCUUCUGAAGAGUUAUAUCUUUCAGAGCUGAGAACAUCUGAUUUUGUUGUUGUUGUUGUUGUUUGGUGGCAAAGUUUCACAUUUAUUAAAG
rnacentral:lncRNA from 1 species